rnacentral:sRNA from 3 species
AUGCGCCACCCGUACACUCCGGUUGCUCCGCGCCGUCCACGCCCAGCUGACGGCUGCUCGCGAGGUUUUGUUAGCC